GCCUGUCGCACAGCCGGGGUAUUUCUCUCCUGGGCUCCCCCUUCUCAGAACCCAUGCCAGAUUCUUCUCCUCACCCUUGAACAAUGACUGCACUUAGACAAUGUAUAACGCUUAGAUAAUAUUAGAAUAUUUUAAAAUACCCAUUUUAAAAACAUAAACCCACAUCUUUACUAAGCAUCACCGACUUGAUGGACGUGAGUUUGAGCAAUCUCUGGGAGUCGCUGAUGGACAGGGAGGCCUGGCAUGCUGCAGUCCUUGGGGUAGCCAAGAGUCGGACACGACUGAGCGACUGAACUGGUCUUUAAGAAGCACAGGAGGACAUGACUUCCGUGUACCGUGGUCAUCGGGCUCCCCGGGGGGCUCAGUGGUAAAGAACCUGCCUGCGAGUGCAGGAAGGGCAGCAGACACAGGUUUGGUCCCGGGAUUGGGAAGAUCCCCUGGAGGAGGAAAUGAAAACCCACUCCUGCAUUCAUGCCUGGAGGAUCCCGUGGAGAGAGGAGCCUGGUGGGCCACAGCCCACGGGGUCGCAGAGUCGGACACGACUGAGCAACUGAACCACACGUGUGCAGCCCCUCCCAGGGAGCACUGCUGGGGAGAAGACGUGAAGGCACCGCCACUCGGGGAGGCCAGGUCGAAGGGGAGAGGAGAAUGCCCGGGGAGAGGAGGUGUCCCUGGGGAGGCGUCCUUCCCUCCCAGGUGGGUGGGGGCAGACCCAGGAUGACAGGCGGAGUGAAUGGCGAGAGCCAGAGAAACAGACCCCACGUCAGAGUCCACACGCGCCUGCCCAGAAGACACACGCGCAGGCGCACCGCUGCGGCAGAGGGCAGCGGGCAGCAAGACGGGGAAGGCUGAGGCUAACCCUCGAUCGUCUCUGGGGAGUGUGGCUGGGGACAGCAGGGUGUGUGAGCCAGCCUAAGGCUGAAUAGGAACCUUGGAUGGUGAGGAUUCCCAGGGAAAGGGGGAGAAAGACCCAGAAGAGCGGAGGAGCGCUGGGUCUGGAGUAACCCUGGGCCUGGAGUAACCCUGGGCCUGGAGUAACCCUGGGCCUGGAGUAACCCUGGAGGGGGCAGCUGGCUGGCUGCGGCUUUCCCGGGGCUGUGCUGUGCCCGCCUCCCCUGCACCCCUGGCCAUCUGUGUGACCCGGGACAGGCCAGGGCCAUCUGCAUCCACAGCAGCAUCUCACUCCCCCGGGGUCUGGACACAUUGCCGUGGUGGGGACCACAGUAAGGCCCGUCACAGGACCAUCAGGUUUUCUGGCUUAAACUGGCCACAGGGCCUGGGUACUUCCAGCCUAAAGCCUCUGUGCCCUUGUGGGUUCUUGGGCCUCUGAUGGCGGCCCUGGGCUGAUGCUGGGUGUAUCAGAUUCUGAUACUGGCAGCCUGAGGCCUGCCCCAGAGCAGCCCCAUGUGCGAGUGGGCUGAGGCUAGAGAUGAGGCUGGAAAUGAGGGAAAGGCGUGUUUGCAGGACCUGCGGGGUGCUGGGAAGCAGCUUAUGACUGUUGAGGGAGGGCAAGGCUACCCUCUGGGAACCAGCACAGGCUCUGCACCCCCAGGGGGUCCAAUCAGCCAGUGGUCCUCACCCCUUUCAUGCCACGAGUCUGCAGCCUCGCAUCGUAAAGAAACAGACCCUUAAUUUCCAAUCAGACGGCCGCCGGUGCGGGCAAGGAAGACGCGGUCAGUCGACCUUCAUUUUGGUUAGUUUCGCUGACAGCUGUGUCGCUCACUUUGUUGUAAACCUGGCAGCUCCAGGGUCUGCCUCUGAUGGGAGCAGAGGCUUUGGUUUCUUCUUUGAGCCUCUGCAGCUCCUGGAGUCCUGACUGAGCGAGCAGAGCAUCCUUAAAUCAGAGGAAAUGGGGUCGGCGGGGAGGCAUGAAGGACGAUUCCACAGCUUUCCCUUUUAAACACCUGGCAUCACUGGUCCAUACUGGGGGCCAGCCCCGCAGGGGCCCAUGGGGUGCCGCUCCCCCGACCCACCCACCCUGGGGGGGAGAGGACUGGCCUCACUCCUCGCUUUCUUCUUGAUGACAGACCUCAGAGAAUUUCUGGAGCAGAGGAAAA
ensembl:lincRNA